AUCCUGGCUCAGGACGAACGCUGGCGGCGCGCCUAACACAUGCAAGUCGAACGAGAGAGAAGGAGCUUGCUUCUUCGAUCGAGUGGCGAACGGGUGAGUAACGCGUGAGGAACCUGCCUCAAAGAGGGGGACAACAGUUGGAAACGACUGCUAAUACCGCAUAAGCCCACGGGUCGGCAUCGACCUAAGGGAAAAGGAGUGAUCCGCUUUGAGAUGGCCUCGCGUCCGAUUAGCUAGUUGGUGAGGUAACGG
rnacentral:rRNA from 1 species